rnacentral:misc_RNA from 1 species
UCCUAAUGAAAUUGCAAAUAGACUAAUUCUGUCACUCAAUGAGUAUAAGAUAUGCGCUUAUUACAAAAGAAUAUUCCAUGGCCAUCCCUCUAUGUAAAAAUAUAAAAAGGUAAAGACAAGAUUAAAGAUCAAUGGGUUGAAAAGAGAUGGCAUUUUUCUUAUGAACCCAAUAAGCAACAAAAAAGGAUACGCCAAAUGAAACAACAGAUAACAGAAAAGCAAAACCAUUGGCAGCGUCCCAAGAGCUUCUUGAUACCACUUUGAUGCCUGCAGAUGAACCAGGAGGAACAUCUAGAGGUACCCAGUCACAACCAAUCGUGUAAUGUCCUGAUCCGUGCCAUGGAUUUCCAUCCUCCGGAUACCAAAAUGCAGCUGAAAACUUGCUUGACUGACCGACAGUGAAUUGCACAUCCUGCUGAAGACGAUCCAUGGUUCUCAGAGCCCUAGAAAAUUCAAAAUAGAAUGUUCCCUUCUGACCCUUUGUUGAAUAAGGACUGUCUUCCUCAGAAUAACCUGAAUGGGUACUGAAACUGCUAUGCCACCAUGCACCCCUCCAGUCAUUCUGGGCAGAUGUAUCAUUUCCUGUAGAACUAACCCCAUCCAAAUUCAUACAGUGUGGGCUCCAAGCAUAUAAAUCGACUAGAUGACCAAAUCUGUCUCCCCCAUUACCAUCUCUGUUGUCGACUGGGUUUCCACCAUACAAUCUGCCAGGGAUAGCAUUUCCAAUUGAGAAGUGCAUGAUAUCGACUUCGUGCCCACGACAAGUUUUUUUGUUGCAUGCAUCAGGUGAUUGCUUACACCCACCCAUACUAUGAUAUGUGGCACUCUCACCAACUUGAAACAUCAGUGCUACAGAUGGGCAAUUAUUGUCAUUUCCUUUCUUGUAUACAUAUUCUCCAUCUACUUGCAACAAAAAGUAGACAUCUUUCCCAUCGUGUAAAGCCUUAACGGUCAUUUUCCCCCCUUUGUAUUCAUGGUCAUGAUCUGGGUCAAGAGCAGGAAGGAGAGAAAACUCAAAUCCUUCAAUAUUUUCCCAAUCAUCAGCGUGUCCAUCAAGGGUUACGACUCCAGGCCUGAACUCCGCAGAAAUACGGGAUACUUCAUCGGUUUCGCAAUGCCAGUUGCCGGAUUCUUGAUGGGAAGAGACGAAUUGGAUCCCGAUUGAGAAUAAUAAGAAGAUUGAUAGUAACAGGGAUUGCUCCAUUUGUCGUGGAAAUAGAAGAUUGUGUGUGUUAGUAGUAAUGGGGUUUUGGAUAAAUCAAGAGUUG